AUACGGAGGGAGCUAGCGUUGUUCGGAAUUACUGGGCGUAAAGGGCGCGUAGGCGGUGGUGUAAGUCAGAUGUGUAAACCAUCGGCUUAACCGAUUGGAUUGCAUUUGAUACUGCAUCACUUGAGUUCAGUAGAGGAGAGUGGAAUUCCCAGUGUAGCGGUGGAAUGCGUAGAUAUUGGGAAGAACACCAGUGGCGAAGGCGGCUCUCUGGACUGACACUGACGCUGAGGCGCGAAAGCUAGGGGAGCGAACAGGAUUAGAUACCCUGGUAGUCCUAGCCGUAAACGAUGGGUGCUAGGUGUUGGGGGUUUCCAUGCCCUCAGUGCCGAAGCUAACGCAUUAAGCACCCCGCCUGGGGAGUACGGCCGCAAGGUUGAA
rnacentral:rRNA from 1 species